rnacentral:rRNA from 1 species
GAUGAACGCUGGCGGCGUGCCUAAUACAUGCAAGUCGAGCGAACAGACGAGGAGCUUGCUCCUCCGACGUUAGCGGCGGACGGGUGAGUAACACGUGGAUAACCUACCUAUAAGACUGGGAUAACUUCGGGAAACCGGAGCUAAUACCGGAUAAUAUAUUGAACCGCAUGGUUCAAUAGUGAAAGACGGUUUUGCUGUCACUUAUAGAUGGAUCCGCGCCGCAUUAGCUAGUUGGUAAGGUAACGGCUUACCAAGGCGACGAUGCGUAGCCGACCUGAGAGGGUGAUCGGCCACACUGGAACUGAGACACGGUCCAGACUCCUACGGGAGGCAGCAGUAGGGAAUCUUCCGCAAUGGGCGAAAGCCUGACGGAGCAACGCCGCGUGAGUGAUGAAGGUCUUCGGAUCGUAAAACUCUGUUAUUAGGGAAGAACAAAUGUGUAAGUAACUAUGCACGUCUUGACGGUACCUAAUCAGAAAGCCACGGCUAACUACG